UAAAAUAGCGUUAUGGGUGUCAUUAAGAGCCAAGAACAGGCAUUUAUAUAUAGCGGUCAUAGGAGCAUACCUGUUGAAGUAUUACAUCAACUUUUAUCGGCUUCCGGUAACGACAUAUCCUGCCAGGUGAGAGGGAGGGAGCCGCUGCUUGCCGCCUCGCUGCUUGGAGGACUCGUGCUGGGCCAAAGGUCGGUAUUGUCUUAUGCCCCCCACCUCACACACCAAGUAUUUCCAAAGUCCAAAAAAGAGGUUAAUCGGGUUCUAAUAAGUGUUCUUUUAGGUUCACGGUACAGAGGAAGGCUCAGACUACCACCAGGGUCAUGAAACUACCCCCGGAAAUGCCCACAACUCCUACGAAAGCCUUGUCAAAUAUGUGUUUCUACAGGUUCAUGGUACAGAGGAAGGGUCACACUACCACCAGGGUCAUAAAACUACCCCCGGAAAUGCCCACAACUCCUACGAAAGCCUUGUCAAAUAUGUGUUUCUACAGGUUCAGGGUACAGAGGAAGGCUCAGACUACCACCAGGGUCAUAAAACUACCCACGGAAAUGCCCACAACUCCUACGAAAGCCUUGUCAAAUAUGUGUUUCUAGGUUCAGGGUACAGAAGAAGGCUCAAACUACCACCAGGUUCAUGAAACUACCCCCGGAAAUGCCCACAACUCCUACGAAAGCCUUGUCAAAUAUGUGUUUCUAGGUUCGCGGUGAUAUAAACCCCCAAAAUAGAUGAUACAUAAUCUGAUCACAAAUGCUUUGAUAUAUAUUAUGAAAUGGUUUGUGUGAGGGGUGAUUUUUUCUCAUUUUUCUCGCUUAGAGGGACCAUUAAGAAACACGAUCCUUAAUGCUAUUACCGGGUUAAACAGUAAUUAUUAUAUAUACAUCAUCGUUCUCCUCAAGGGCACAAAAAAAGAAAACAAUGAUAAGAAAAGCCCGCUACUCGCUGCCCCUAAAAAAUAAGACUCCAAAGAGGUGGCCGAAAGAGAGGUCAAUUUCGGGAGCGCGCCCUUUAAUCAAUUGUAAAUAUAUCAUCGUUUUCCUUUUAAUAAUCAAUAAGAAAGGAAUUAACGAAAGCCAGGUAACGAGAACCAUUUGAAAUUAAGUGAAAGCUUUAGAAAGGUCGAGUGUUUUAUAUAUAAGUGUGAACAGAUGCUUGACUAAAACUUAACACAUUCACUCCUCACGAACAAAGUAGAAGUAGUAGUAGUAGUAGUAGUAGUAGAACACAUUUACCUCAAUACACUUUUAAUAAAUACACAGACAGACAGGCAGACACAUCAACCAAUACGCGGAUACAUAAAGACAAACAGCAAAUCUAAUUCUACAUCUCCCCCAGUUACUUAAGGCUCCGUGGGAUGUCUCAGGGUUCUUGUAGGCACCCAGGAACAGCACAUUCUGGGAGGUUGUCGUAGAUAGAGUGAUAGAGAUAGAGAUAGACAGACUUACAGACAUAGGGAUACAUAUAUAACAACUAUUUUACAACCCCGUCAGUAUCUUAAGCACUGUGCGAUGUCCUAAGGCUCUUGUAGGCGCCCAGAAACAGCACAUUCUUGGGAGGUUGUCGUAGAGAUAGAUAUAGACAAACAGCACUUCUAUCCUACGACCCAGUCAGUAACUUAAGCACUCUGCGAUGUCCUAAGGAUCUUGUAUGCGUUCAGGAACAGCACAUUCUUGGGAGGUUGUCGUAGAGAGAUAGACAAACAGUACUUCUAUCCUACGACCCAGUCAGUAACUUAAGCACUGUGCGAUGUUUUGGGACUCUUGUAGGCGCUCAGGAACAGCACAUUCUUGGGAGGUUGUCGUAGAGAGAUAGACAAACAGCACUUCUAUCCUACGACCCAGUCAGUAUCUUAAGCACUUUGCGAUGUCCUAAGGCUCUUGUAGGCGUCCAGAAACAGCACAUUCUUGGGAGGUUGUCGUAGAGAGAGAGAUAGACAAACAGCACUUCUAUCCUACGACCCAGUCAGUAACUUAAGCACUGUGCGAUGUUUUGGGACUCUUGUAGGCGCCCAGGAAACAGCACAUUCUUGGGAGGUUGUCGUAGAGAGAGAGACAAACAGCACUUCUAUCCUACGACCCAGUCAGUAUCUUAAGCACUGUGCGAUGUCCUAAGGCUCUUGUAGGCGCUCAGAAACAGCACAUUCUUGGGAGGUUGUCGUAGAGAGAGAGAUAGACAAACAGCACUUCUAUCCUACGACCCAGUCAGUAUCUUAAGCACUGUGCGAUGUUUUGGGACUCUUGUAAGCGUCCAGAAACAGCACAUUCUUGGGAGGUUGU